UUACGGCCAUAUCACGUUGAAAAACCAGUUCCCGUAUGAUCACUGGAUAUAAGCAACUUCGAACGUGGUCAGUACUUAGAUGGGUGACCGGUUGGGAAUUUCAGGUGCUGUAAG